UGGGGAAUUUUGGACAAUGGGCGCAAGCCUGAUCCAGCCAUGCCGCGUGUCUGAAGAAGGCCUUCGGGUUGUAAAGGACUUUUGUCAGGGAAGAAAAGGCUGUUGCUAAUAUCAGCGGCUGAUGACGGUACCUGAAGAAUAAGCACCGGCUAACUACGUGCCAGCAGCCGCGGUAAUACGUAGGGUGCAAGCGUUAAUCGGAAUUACUGGGCGUAAAGCGAGCGCAGACGGUUACUUAAGCAGGAUGUGAAAUCCCCGGGCUCAACCUGGGAACUGCGUUCUGAACUGGGUGACUAGAGUGUGUCAGAGGGAGGUAGAAUUCCACGUGUAGCAGUGAAAUGCGUAGAGAUGUGGAGGAAUACCGAUGGCGAAGGCAGCCUCCUGGGAUAACACUGACGUUCAUGCUCGAAAGCGUGGGUAGCAAACAGGAUUAGAUACCCUGGUAGUCCACGCCCUAAACGAUGUCAAUUAGCUGUUGGGCAACUUGAUUGNUCAGUANCGUANCUNACGCGUGAAAUUGACCGCCUGGGGAGUACGGUCGCAAGAUUA
rnacentral:rRNA from 1 species